UGCACCGUUCAUUUAUUUUCGAUUAUUUAUUUGGCCGUAAUUACUUAAUGUGUCAUGAUGAUCAUUGUAGGUUCUACGGUAGUAUAUAGUAGAAGGGUAUUUUUUAGAAGGUAACAUAUUUUUAUAUUUUAUAAGAAAAUGUAUGCCACCUUGGCCCAUGCGUAUAUAGGAUAGUAUAAUUAGUUGUCUUGAAGGUUUUAUAC